rnacentral:rRNA from 1 species
CGCCUCCUGCAACUAGAUUGAGUAUAGGAGGUCCAGCCUGCCCAGUGACUACGGGUUUAACGGCCGCGGUAUUUUGACCGUGCAAAGGUAGCGCAAUCACUUGUCUCUUAAAUAGAGACCUGUAUGAAUGGCUAGACGAGGGCUUAACUGUCUCCCCCCUUCAGUCAGUGAAAUUGAUCUAUCCGUGCAGAAGCGGGUAUAUUACUACAAGACGAGAAGACCCUUUGGAGCUUAAGGUAUAAAAUUCAACCACGUUAAACGACUCCAUAAGAAGCAAGAACUUAGUGGCCGUGAAAUUUUACCUUCGGUUGGGGCGACCACGGAGUAAAAGUUAACCUCCGAGUGGACUGGGCCAAACCCCUAGAACUAAGAGAGACAUCUCUAAGCCACAGAACAUCUGACCUAUAAUGAUCCGACUACAGUAGUCGAUCAACGAACCAAGUUACCCUAGGGAUAACAGCGCAAUCCUCUCCCAGAGCCCAUAUCAACGAGAGGGUUUACGACCUCGAUGUUGGAUCAGGACAUCCUAAUGGUGCAGCCGCUAUUAAGGGUUCGUUUGUUCAACGAUUAAAGUCCU